rnacentral:pre_miRNA from 1 species
UAAAUACUCCCUCCGUCCUAAAAUUAUUGUCCUAGAUUUGUCUAAAUAUAGAUGUAUAGUCAAAUUUUAGUGUUAGGUACAGCCAUAUCUACACAAAUCUUAGACAAGAAUUUUAGGACGGAGGUAGUAGUAC